GGCGAAGAUGAAGAGUGCUUUGUAUAUUCUGACACCUCUUGUAUGAGAUGGAUCGUUUUCCAUAAAUGGUUCGUCUUUGAGCACGUAAAGCAAACUCUCUGAGUC